rnacentral:lncRNA from 1 species
GGAUCAUAAGAAUGCAGUUUUAAACAGGCAGGUGGGGGUGAGAAGUAUUAAAAAUUCAAAAGAAGUUUUAAAAUAAAGCAAGAAACAUAUGUUUAGAGCCAAAACAACGAAAGAGCAAAGUUUGAUCGUAGUUUUCAGUGAAUGUGAAGCAAAGAAUUCUUACAGAACAUGAGCUGGCAUUACCCUCAAACCAAGAGAAAGUUUGAGUAGGGGAGCAGUAAAACCGACAA